GAGGGAUCAUUACUGAGUUUACGCUCUACAACCCUUUGUGAACAUACCUAUAACUGUUGCUUCGGCGGGCAGGGUCUCCGUGACCCUCCCGGCCUCCCGCCCCCGGGCGGGUCGGCGCCCGCCGGAGGAUAACCAAACUCUGAUUUAACGACGUUUCUUCUGAGUGGUACAAGCAAAUAAUCAAAACUUUUAACAACGGAUCUCUUGGUUCUGGCAUCGAUGAAGAACGCAGCGAAAUGCGAUAAGUAAUGUGAAUUGCAGAAUUCAGUGAAUCAUCGAAUCUUUGAACGCACAUUGCGCCCGCCAGCAUUCUGGCGGGCAUGCCUGUUCGAGCGUCAUUUCAACCCUCAAGCUCUGCUUGGUGUUGGGGCCCUACAGCCGAUGUAGGCCCUCAAAGGUAGUGGCGGACCCUCCCGGAGCCUCCUUUGCGUAGUAACUUUACGUCUCGCACUGGGAUCCGGAGGGACUCUUGCCGUAAAACCCCCAAUUCUCCAAAGGUUGACCUCGGAUCAGGUAGGAAUACCCGCUGAACUUAA
rnacentral:rRNA from 1 species